GGUUGUGUAGUGUAGUGGUUAUCACUUUGGAUUUUGAUACCAAACAAGUUCCAAUAACCCCGGUUCGAACCCGGGCACGACCU
rfam:Aspergillus aculeatus ATCC 16872 unplaced genomic scaffold ASPACscaffold_8, whole genome shotgun sequence.